rnacentral:lncRNA from 10 species
ACUCAGCUAAGAGGACUUUGCAGUUGAGGCUGAAUCUUGAUCCAUGUAGUCCAUUCCCGAUGGUGCUAUUUAGAAGGCCUUUUGUUGUCUGAGCAAAGUUGUCUUCCUGGCCUUACUACUGAAUCUUGGCAAAGGAUCAAUGGGUGUGAAUCAUGGCAAUACAGUGAAAGACAGUGAUUUACUGCUUUUGAGGGCGUGCAUGUAUAUGAUUAACGGAUGGAAGUGCAGGACUCCAAGAUUUACUUCCUUCCCUUUCCAGCAGAAUUACCUGAGACGAGUAAAAUCUACUGGUGGAGUCACUCCAUUAUUCUUAUCUGUGGAGAUCUAGAUCUUGAUUUGAAAGUUUCUGAGAAAAUCUUCAGCUCAGACUUGAGGGUCAACUUUACCAGCUGAAGGAUCUGCAUUUACUGCUCAACCACAUCUAAUUUGAUGUCCUCUGCAGAUUUAAAAUGUGUGCCUUCUUUUCCGUCACCAAGUCAUCCCUGGGUUACUACUGAACAUCCUUCUCAAUUCCCCCCGACCCAUGGAUGGCUGUUCUCCAUUGUCUGUUUCACCAGAUGUCCUCAAAACAAACAGACAGAAGAAGGAAGUGGCUAAUGGAGCUGUGGAGUCCAAGUGUGACUGCCAAGAGGAAUCCAGCAAAGCCAAAAAGCCCAAGCAUGUAGCCCUGCCCGAAGCACGCCACACGCAUGGAAAACCCAGAGGAAAUGAGUGAGGAUCAAUGGGAAGAAGAGAGCCAGCCAGGUUCGAUGCCUUCUCCAUCCGUCAGUGAGGGUGUGGAGAGCCUGCAGGCGUGUGCCUCCCUCUGUAACUUGCUAUUCCUUGUGUAAUGUCAAGUGGAAGUGUGAAGCACCACAAACUGCUCUGAGCAGAGCCCACUUCCCUUCACCCACGGAGAGCGUGAAGCAGUUACACCAACAUCAAUCAAGGAAAACCCACAGGCUGAGCUCACACGGUUGAAGCAGGAAGUUGAAGAUUUGUCCAGGAGCAGAUAGCUGAAGAGAGAGAGAGAGAAGAGAGAACGGCUUACAGCUCAGUUCUGGAGACCAGAAGGCCAAAAUCAAAAGUAUGGGCAGGCUUGAUUUCUUUAGAAGACUCCAGCGGAGAACUGUGUCUCCUUGCUUCUGAUUCUACAUCUCCAUCCAUGGGCCACUGUUUCAGCAACCUCAGCCAGUGCAACACAACCUCAGCCAAGAAGAGUAUGCAGAGAAAGGAGUCCCCUACCUGCCACAAAACUGUUGUCUGAAAACUGUCUCAUAUUGUCUCAAGUUGUCAUUCAUUGUGAAUUAGACCUGUUUAACAUGUAAUCUGCAACAUGCUUCACUGUCUAAUUUUCCAGAGCCCCUCAUAUAAGGAACUGUAUUAUUGGUAUAAUCAUCAUGGUGAAGAAGUUGGUAUGUGGGGGAGAGAUGACAGAAACAGAGAGUAAGUCAGAGCUGGCUGCCUGACAGAUAAAAAGGAAAUGACCAAAAAAAAAAAAAAAGACACAGAAGAAUACUUUGUUGUCCACACAGAAAAGGGAAGUGUAGGUAAGACAGCAGUAGACUAAGAUUCUUAAGACUCAAGUUCUAGUCUUAUUUAUUAGCUAUGGGAGGCCUUGAGGGAGUUCUAGAAUUAAGUGAUCUCUCUUUAUAAAAUAGGAACAGUAAUAACUUCCUGGCUAACUCCCUGGCUGUCUCACAAUGCUGUAGUAGUAAGAAAUAAUUUUAUAAUUAAAGACUAUUUUAGGGCUGAUUACAUUUUUGGGCAGUGGCUCAUACAUGUAAUUUCAACAUUUUGGGAGGCCAAGGUGGGCGGAUUGCUUGAGCCCAGGAAUUCAAGACCAGGCUGGGCAACACAGACCUUGUCACUACAAAAGAAAAAAACAUUAGCUAGGCGUGGUGAUGUAUGCCUGUGGUCCCAGCUACUCAGGAAGCUGAGACAGGAGGAUCACCUGAGCCUGGGAGGUCGAGGCUACAGUGAGCCAUGAUCACACUACUGCACUCCAGCCUGGGAAACAGAGUGAGACUCUGUCUCAAAAAAAAAAAAAAAGGAAUAUUUUACACUUCAAGGUUCUAUACAAAUGUAAAAUAUCAUUCUAUUACUUAUUUAUAAUGCUGAUUAUUCUUUAAAUGACUUUAAAAUGUUAAUCUCUGCUUGAGCCUACGGAGAAGUAUGUAACAAAUUUGUGAAGGAUUGGCAUUAAACAUAGUCAAAAUAAAACAUAGAAAUUAUGGUAAAUAAUUUAACUGGUAAAAUAAUCUAAGUGGUAGUUCUCAGGUAAGUGGAAAUUCGAUUAGCUGAUUGUUUAGGAUUCUUGGUUAUAAGUGACAGAGACCUGACUAAAAGUACAUGAAGCACAUAACUGAGAAGGUUGUGGUAUGGCUCAGCAGAAAUGGGAAAAUCUUGGGACUGGUUCGUGUUUUAUUUACAUUAUCUUUGUUCCCAGGCAGUCUCUGCAUGUAAGUGGCAAAGAUGACUGUCUGAAAAUAUAUACCUACUUUUUUAAAGGGCUAUCUCAAGCCAUUCUGGAGAAGCACCAAAAGCCACUUUGCUUAUACUGGGAGAAUAGUUUGCUUUCCCUAAUUUGUGAUGAGUGAAACACUGAACAGAGACAUAGAAUAAUAUUCUGUAGUUCAGGGUUGGUGUAAUAUGGCCAGUGGGCGGAAUCUGGUCCUCAGACUGAUUUUGCAAAUAAUCUUAUAGAAACACAGCAACACCCAUUCAUUACAUGUUGUUUAUGGUUGCUUUGGGGUUACAAUGGCAGAGUUGAGUAGUUGUGACAGAGAUCACUAGGCUCACCACAUCUGAGAUAUGUACUGACUGACCCUGUACAGAAAGUUUGCUGCUCUUAGAGGAAUGUGUGUUUCUAGUGUCAGCAAUAAACUUCUUGGAUUUGUUUUGUUUUCUCAUCUUUACAUGAUAGUUGCAGACUAGUUGAUCCUUGUGACCUGUUUUUGAAUGCCACUGUGUAUUCUGUCAGGGCCCUCUGAUUCUGUUUCUUAUGGUGCUGAAUGCACAAUUUAAUGCCCUGGAAUUUCCUUCUGUCUUCUGCUAAACUCAUGCCUCUUCAGAUAGUUAAAAUCCUGUUCUACCUUAGAAGUCUCCAGAGUUAUUUUCCUAAAUUAAGAAGAACUGGCUUUGAAGUUACUCAUUAUGCCACACACAAUGGUUGAAAAGAGCAUCUCUUAUGUACUGUGUAUAUUUCAGCAUCCACUCAGCUUCUUAGGUAGAAAAGGAAGAGUCUUCCACAGUGUAUUUUAUCCAUAUUUGGGUCAGAAACUCUUCUUUACCACGGAGCGUGAUGGAAGAAAGAUAUGGGAUGGUAACAGUAGGCCAGGGAUGUAAUAAUCACAAAAUUUGAGAUAUUUUGUGACUGGUGACUCACGCCUGUGAUCCCAGCAUUUUGGGAGGCCAAAGCGGGCGGAUCACCUGAGGUCAGGAGUUCAAGACCAGCUUGGCCAAUGUAGUGAAACCUCAUCUCUACUAAAAAAAUAUAAAAAUUAGCUGGGUGUGGUGGUGCACACCUGUAAUCCUAGCUACUCAGGAGGCUGAGGCAGGAGAAUAGCUUGAACCAAGGAGGUGGAGGUUGCAGUGAGCUGAGAUUGUGCCACCACUGCAUUCCAGUCUGGGUGACAGAGCGAGACUCUGUCUCAAAAAAAAAAAAAAAAAAAAUCUAGAAAAAGAUCUCCAAGAUUCAAUCAUCUAAUUAUUUCUUUUAAAAAUGAGAAAAAUGACUCCUGGUCAGCUUUUACCUUCUUUUUCCAACUGUCUUGACAAUACUUUCAUAUUGGGCUUUUAAAGUCUCAAGUAAUAGGUUUUUAAAACCUCAGCUGAUAAAAGUAUAAAAAUAAAGUUAAAACAUAUUAAAGACAAAACCCAAGAAUCAGCUUCCUCUUCCUUCAUUACUCUUGCAUGGGUGUUGGCUCUAAUUUCUCCAUCUAGUUAGGCAGUCCUUUGCUUUUUAUUGCUUGUUUAUUGAUGACAUUUGCCAUUUGUAGCAAUAGUAAUAGAAUCAUCUAUAUAUUUGUGGCCUUGUUGAAUGUAGAAAAAGGAUAGUGGCAUUUUCUAAUUGUGUAACCCUAUAACACCUUGACGGGGGACUACAGUUCAUAUGCUGGACCUUUUGUGUUUGUUCAUGGCGGGUGGGUUGCUUUAAUAUACUUAGCACAUUGUCCUAAUUGCCAUCCUUUUGGGGAGGGCUAUAUAUCCAAGCUAAUAUGGUAGCAUUUUUGUUUUAACAUAGAGCUGACCCAAGGUAGACGUAAGUGUUGUUCAUUUUUGCCUAAUACUAAUAAAAUUACCUAAUUGUUGAAGCUUGGAGCUUGAAUCUAGGCAUUUUAUUUCAUUUCAAGUACACCCUAGUAUUUUAAAGCAUAAAUAUCCUACUAUCCUCAACAACUUUAGAACAAAAAUAAAUAUUUUAACAAGAAAAAAGCAUGCCAUGACAAGCUGUAACUUAGUAAAGAAAGACAAGGAAUGGUCUCUAUAGACCGAGAAAAAAUAGGUCCUCAGAUAUAUUUAUACCAAAGGAAUGUUAUGAAUGUAAAAAACAGUUUGACUCCCCCCCCCCCGCCAAAAAAAAACUCCACAACCCUAUAUUUUGUUAUCACAAGACUGUUUUAGUGAAUAAAACAGUAUGAAUUGGUUUUACCUGUUUCCAUUUAAUACUUAUUAACUUUAUAAUCGUAUAGCCUGAGGGUUUUAACUUCAAGUACAGCAUGAUGACUAUAAUAGUUUUACACAAGGCAAAUGUGAAAAACAGAAGUAAUUUCUUUUAAAAAGUGUGAAAUAUCUAAAAGGUAUGACUUCAAUACAUCAACUCAGGUGAGACAGACAUGUAACUUCUUUUUCCAUGUUUAAACCUAAUAUUGCUUUUGUGCCUCUGAAGGCUCGGAGUUUCCAUGCCUUCUUAGGACAUGCCACCCUCUCCACACCUGGAUGUGUUCACCAACCCAGAAGCUCUUGGAACCCCAUCAUUUGGGGUUUUUAUGGAGUCCCCAUUAAGUAGGUAUGACUGAUUAAAUCACUGGCCAUUGGUGGUUGACUCAAUCUCCAGCCUCUCUUCCCUCUCUGAAGGUGAAGGGGUGGGAAGGUGAGGCUAAGUUCCAACCCUCGGAUCACAGGGUUGGUUCCUCUGCAACCAGGCUUCAUCGUGAAACAAUACAGGGCCCACCGAGAGUCACCCCAUUAGCAAACUCAGAUGUGAUUGAAAGGGGCUUAUUAUGAAUAUCAAAAGACAUUUCUCUUUCUCCUAUUACUCAGACAGUUACAAGGGUUUCAGAAGCUCUUGCACCAGGAACUGGGAACAAAGACCAAAUAUAUAUGUCUUCUUCUAUUACAAUGUCACAGGUGUGACAGAGUAGGUAAAUGGAGUCUCAGAGAGUCCCCAGAGUAUUCCAUGGAGCCACAAAAUGAAGAAUAAAUGGAUGGUUCUCCCCAUGAUCAAAAGUGGCCUGAAAAUACUUGAGAAUGAGUCAUAACUUAAAAGGCUGUAUAGUAGAAAAGAAUGCACAGAGGACCGAAUGUAAAAGAAGGCACCCCAGUCUCAGCUAGUGUGGAUGCAUGCCAGUGUAGAAAGAUGCUAGUGUGGCUACAUUGGUGCACUGAAGACCAAACUCCUGCAUGGCCCCACAUCCUUGAUACCUUAGAUCUAUAUCAUCCCCUAAAACUUAGGUGUUAUGACAUUCAGGAUAUGCUACCCCAUCAUUUUUUAGGCUGAAGGAAUUUGAGAAAACAGAAGCAGGAAUGUAAUUGCCCAGUGGGUUCUUCCUGCCCUGUGCACAGACAAAACCAGUUCACUGAGACCAUGGUAUUGCAGUUAAGAAAGAGUUUAACAGGAGGCUGGCCACAUGGAAGAAUUACAGUUAUUACAAAUUAGUCUCCCUGAAGGCUCAGAGGUCAGGGUUUUUCAUGGAUAGUUCGGUGAGCAGUGGAUUAGGGGUAAGUGCUGCUGAUUGGUUGGGGAUACAAUCAUAGGGGUGUGGAAAAUGGUCCUUGUGUGCUGAGUCACCUCUGGGUGGGAGGCCAUGGGACCCAUUGAGUCAUGAGUCACGAGGCUGGGUUGGGUCAGUGUGAAAAACAUCUCAAAAGACCAAUCUUAGGUUCAAAAUAGGUGAUAUUACCUGUAGGAGCAAUUGGGAAAGUUAUAAAUUAUAUGACCUCUUGGCCCCAUGACUUCUGAGCAGUAAGAGAUGAUAGAAACUAAACCUACAUUUUAUCAGCACUCAGGCCUCUUCCAUAAUCCUAAUCUUGUGGCCUUUCGUUAGUCUUAUAAAGGUGGUUUGGUAACUGCCCUCAAGCAAGGAGGGGAUCAGUUUUAGGGAGGUGCUAUUAUCAUCCUUGCUUCAAAGUUAAGCUGUAAACUAAAUUCCUCCCAUAAUUAGCUUGGCCUACACCCAGAAAUGAGCAAAGACAGCCAGCCUGUGAUGUUAGAAGCAAGAUGGAGUUAGUCAUGUUAGAUUUCUCUCACUGUCAUAAUCUUUGCAAGGGAGGUUCCAGGAAGGUCAUCCUACCUUUCCCCUCACCCUUCUCAUGUGACACAGGUCAUAAAGCCUAGGAAGGAUUUUCCGACCUUUCCCUGAAGCAGGUCGUAAGACCCUCAUUGGGGAGGUGCCAUUUCUAGACCAAGAGAAAAGGCACAUCCUUAUGUCUGAAGACACAGGGACACAGAGAAGAAUCUGAACAAACAGGUCUUGCUAAGUUCCCCCCAGUUUGUUUUCAUUAGAUCAUGCCCCUUUAUUCAAUGCUGUUUCUCCACAACUAUCCAUUUCUUCAUCAAGCCUAGCAUAAAAAAUACAGGUUUCACGGUUUCUUUGGGUCUUCAUUUCCUUAUAAAGUCUCCUGUACCAUGUAAAACUUAAAUAAGUUUCUCUGCUUUUCUCUUGUUGAUUCUGUCCUUUGUUUUAUAACCCUCAGACAUGAACCUAGUGAUGAGUGAGGGGAAGAUAAUUUAUUUUCCUCUACAGAUGCAAAAGGGAAAAGGGAACAAUCCCUAAACGGAAGUUAUGAUCCAGGGAUCAGAGGCUCAAAAGCAAGAUUAGGUUUAAAUGUAGAAAAAUACAUUCCUCUUUCAUUUUAGAUAUCCCAAAUGCCCAAAUCAACCCAGCUAUUUCUCAGAAGUCUGUUUCCCCUCCACCCUCUGCUCCUCUGUGUAGUGAAACUGUCUCGUUUGGGAGUAAAAUGGCCUGGCUUUCCUUACUGAGUAUACUCUCAAGACUAUUGCCUAUUACUUUUUUCCAUUCCUUCUUGAGAACUACGCUUUUUAAAACAAGAAUUGACUCCAUUUAUCUUUUUCUUUUAGCCUUCUGCUGGGGUAUGCCUUCUCUAAAGCAAUGAAUAAAAAAUGCUUUAGCUGAAUAAAUGGGGCAAGGAUCAAGGAGUACAAGCUAAUAUUUCACAAUAUUAUCCUGCCAUAAAUAAAAGUAUGGUUUAAAUGACAAUGGUGGGGUUAGGAGUUACAGGUCACUGAAACACCACCUUAUUCAUGCUACCAGCCCCUUGGCUUUCCUGAUGGCAGCAGGGAAGCAACACAUAGGUAGAAUUAUGAGCCAACAUCGUGACUGGAGAGGGAUUGAAAAUCUUAUUUGUUGUCUUCCUAGACUAUUACAGUUAUCUGUUGAAAUUAGACUCAAUUCUUUGGCGAAAGUACUCAUUUUUAAGGUCCAUAAUAAAUUGUAACUAUGUAGCCUUUGUUGCAUGAGUUUAGUAUGAGCUGAUUGGUGGGCCACAGUGAAAGGCAGAGGGAAAUGGAUGUUAACUAAGAGGUAGAAGUCCCCUUGAAGUUCUGACCCUGUCACUAAUGAAGUCUUUAUUUCCGUAUUUAGUAAUUGCCUUUUUUUUUUUUUUUUGAGACAGAGUCUUGCUCUGUCGCCAGGAUGGGGUACAGUGGCACAGUAUCUGCUCACUGCAACCUCCGCCUCCCAGGUUCAAGCAGUUCCCCUGCCUCAGCUUCCUGAAUAGCUGGGACUACAGGUGUCUGCCGCCAUGCCUGGCUAAUUUUUGUAUUUUUAGUAGAGACGGGGUUUCACUAUGUUGGCCAGGAUGGUCUCGAUCUCCUGACCUCGUGAUCUGCCCACCUCAGCCUCCCAAAGCUAGGAUUACAGACGUGAGCCACCAUGCCCGGCCAACUGCCUUCUUUAUAUCUCAUUUUAAAAAUUUAUAACAAAGAAGUGGGUUGAUUUUCAAGACCUAGUUGUGUUAGUUUGAAUGAGAUGCAUACAUUUGGCAAGUCUGGGGUCUAAGAAAAGAUAAAGAUCUGAAUGCUGAAAAUCUAGAGAAUUCAGGUUACUGGGGGAUAACUUAAAGUCACUAGGGAAUUCGGGUUACUGGGGGGAUAACUUAAGGUCACUAGGGAAUUCGGGUUACUGGGGGGAUAACUUAAGGUCACUAGAACCCAAAUGCAGGGAAGAGUUGGGUGCUCUUUGGCAAAUAAACAUUCCUGACUUAGCAUUUUUCUUAAACCCGAACGUGCCAGCUGUUUUUUUGUUUUUUUGUUUUUUUGUUUUGUGACCUCAGCCAGGCUUGCGUGUUUAUUCAUCACAUAUUCUAAGCUCAUAUACAACUGUGACCUGAUCCAGCCUUCAAGGAACUCACUCUUGAUUUUAGGAAUCUUUCCACCACUUCGAUUUCAUCUUACUCCUGAAACAGUCAGCCAGAACUGUCUAAUUCAGUCUAUACUUCUGAUACAAAACUCUACCCAGCAACCACUAUGGUUUUGUUGCUUUAGGUACGUGUUAGAAAGCACCCACAUCAAUUUACAGAAAAUCCUUAACUGAAUCUCUAGUCCCAGAGGAGUCAUAUUUUAUUAUAUGGUGCUUUUUAUUUAAAGAGAUCGGUUUAAUAGAAAUUACUCAGGCAUUUGAAGUGAUAGCUUUAAAAUGUGGGACUGGGGAAAAUAAGAACACUUGACCUCUCUCCAUAAAAUUGAAUUGUUCUUUAGGUUUAAAGUUUUGACAGACAAAGAGAAAGUGAGAGCAAGUGAGGGUGAAAAUAUAUCCUUAUUUGGUAAUGAGUACCCAUUAAGAGGACAGUAUAUUACAUUUCAUCUUCUUACUUCACAUUCCUGUUUUAAGGAUUUGUGAGCAAAGUGCUGUGAGACCUCUAGAGUUAAGAGGCUGGAGAUAGGUAGUUUUGAUGGUAUUUUAAGGAGUGCUCCAUAAUGUGUAGUGUCUGAGUGCUGAAGCUUAAUCAGCUUCAAUUAAAUCCAAAACAUACUGAAUAGCUCCUAUGUGUCUGGCAUUGAGCUGUGUGCCAAAGUGGUGGAAAGAUGUAAGAGCCACUGAGGCUUAGAGAUGAAAAGGAUCUUGGAGCCACUGGUUUCCUGCCUGCUGGAGUUUCACCAUCAAGGACCCUUUCGUUAUUUUCCUUCUCCCAUGCAUUUUAUUAAAAUUUUUGGUUUAGUAAACCAAAUUCACUAAUGGGAUGUUAUUUUCAUAUCAAAGAGUAUAAUUCUGCCAAUCAAGGCUUCUGAUCAGCAUAAAAUAAUUAGGUUUCAUACUGAAUGCACAAAUUCUAGUCAAAAGCAAAGCCAUUUGAUGACAUGUCUGCUAUGUUGCCAUUUGCUUUAAGAGAGGUAAAGGUAGCCUGACUUCUGUUCACUCUGUAGUACAGAAUACAUUGUUAACAAGUCAUAGGUAUGUUCUUUUAGGUUUCUAAUUACUGUCAGCCUCUCAUUUCAGACAGGUGAUGUGAUAAGGUGAAAUGAUUACUAUAUUUAGACUCAAAAGUCCUGAGUUUGAGUCCUCGUUUAACGAUCUAGUCCAUGAGCUUCAGUUUUCUCACCUGUUAAAUGGAAAUGAUGAUUAUUUCCUGGAAAUUGCAUUUCCAGGUUGUUUUGAAUGAUAAAUGAUAUGGUGUAUAUAUCAGCUGUUUGCAAACCAGAAAAAGCUAUUCUAUGGUAAACACAUGCAGUGGGCUGAAUUGUGUCUCCCAAAAUUCAUAUGUUGAAGUCCUCACCCCCAGGGCCUCAGAAUGUGACUGUAUUUGGAUCUAGGGUCUUCAAGAGAUAACUAAGUUAGAAUGAGGUCAUUUGGGUUGAUCCUAAUCCAACUGACUGAUAUCCUUAUAAGACGACGAAAUUUGGAUACAGAAAUACACAGAAGACAGGGAGAAGAUGGCCAUCUACAAGCUAAGGAGAGAGGCCUCAGAAGAAACACACCUGCCACACCUUGAAUUUGGACUUCUAGCCAUCAGAACUGUGGGAAAAUAAAUUUCUGUUGUUUAAGCCAGGAGUCCUCAACCCCCGGGCUGUGGACCUGUACCAGUCGGUGGCAUGUUAAGGACUGGGCUCCACAGCAGGAGGUGAGUGGUGGGCGAGUGAGCAUUACUGCCUGAGCUCCACCUCCCGUCAGAUCAGCAGUGGCAUUAGAUUCUCAUAGGAGCACAAACCCUAUUGUAAACUGAGCACGCAAGGGAUCUAGGUUGUGCGCUCCUUACGAGAAUCUAAUGCCUGAUAAUCUGAGAUUGAACAGUUUUAUCCCCAAACCAUCCCCUCCACCACCCCCGUGGUCUGUGGAAAAAUUGUCUUCCACAAAACUGGUCCCUGGUGCCGAAAAGGUUAGGGACCAGCGGCUCAAGCCACCCAGCCUGUGGUACUUUGUUACGGUAGCCCUGGCAAAUGAAUACAACACGUUUUAGACUAUGAUGUUACACAUGCAGUGUGUUGAGAGCCAAAGAACCCAAAUGAUUCGUGGUAUCUGCCCUUGAAGAGUUUUUAAUCUUUUUGGGCAUGAUGAAACAUACACAUGGAAAAUAAAAUAGCAUAUAACCAAGUGCCCAAAUCAGUAAUAAAUACAGUUGACUCCAUAAACAUUUAGGAACCUUCUAUCCCAUGUUUCCACAUUCUAUCCCAGUGGCUUUUGCCACUAAAUUUCUUCACCCACUAUUAGACUGAUGUUUUCAUCUUUCAGUAUCAGACUCAAGCUUUAAUCUAGAAAGAGGGGGUGGGGGGAUAAAUGCUAUACUUUGGAACCAGUCCGGAUAUUUUAAGUAUGUUUUUAAAAAGUAUAAUCCUCACAACAUGAAAGUUAUUAGUUCUAUUUUUCAGGUGAGAAGAGUUAAGGUCAAACAGACGAAAGCUAGUUAGUGGAGGGACUGGUAUUCCAAGCCCAUUCUGGUUAAACUAAAUCUUGUGUUCUUUCCACUAGAAAACUGCUUUUUGUCUUAAUUAUAAUUUUGUGACAAGGAUGUAUAGUCCAUUAAGGAAUAUAUACAACAGAAGAAGCAUUUAAGUGGACUUGAGGUUUGUGAAUCUGAACUAGUUUCUAUCGACUUUCACAUCAGCAGCUCCUAUUCUGGGGAAAGAGAAUGGAGGCUGGGAGUGAUCCUGACAAACCUUGAUGUGCAGGCUUGUGGAGAAACUGGAUUCACACCCAGGCUCGUGGAGUGUGGGAGAGGCUGGCCUGUCACAAUAUCAGGACAGCCUCUCUUAAUAACACUGCAGAAGGAAUCGAGGGCCCUGUGGUUUGCGUUUGUUAGACUUUGGAUGGUGGAGACCUGUGCCUGCUACUUCUCUCAUCUCCUGAUACCUAAUGCAUAGUGUUCAGUAAGUAUUUAUUUGGUGAUAACAAUAUCAAAAACUAGAUAAUGCUUAGAAGAUCCAACACCUUCCAAAAUCUCUGUUAACCAGGUACUGAAAUAUGGUCAACCAGAUGAGCUGAAAUGUCAAGAACUUAUAGACACACAUGGUUUCAUGGUUGUGAAACUAGAAGAUGUGGCAUAUUUUACACAAUGGAGGGAAGAGCAAAGGUUAUGCAUGUGCGGAGGCAGAGCCCCUAGGCAGGUUUCCCUCUUUUCCUUCCUGUGCACUGAUUUUUAUUUUGGUGAACUGAAACAGGGGUCUAACAAACUGGUAUCUCAUUUGUCUUUAUAAACAGAACUGCCAGAUUGGCUUUGCAAUUCAGGGCCCUGUAGGGUGCCCACCUCCUCAGUUUGGGCAGCAGCAUUACAUCUGAGUCUUAGAAUAAAAAUGGAAAGCAAUGGCUCAACCCAUUGGUUUGUCACCAUCCACAUGAAGGAUCUCUAUUGGUAAAAAAACAGACUCCCGUGUUCAAGGCCCUGGGGCUGGAAUCAAAUCCAUCAUUCAUUUAUUUCGGUUUUUUAAGGCUAAAUACAUAGGGAAGAAAAUGAAAUGUGAGAAAGCUGUGCAUUUUCAAUGUCAUCUUGAAAGUGAGUAUCUUUAGACACAUAAAGUAGAUGAGUGGUUAACUUGGGCUGGGAGAGGGAGUGAGGAGUGGUUGUACAUGGCACAAGGUUUCUAUUUAGUGUGAUUGAAAUGUUCUAUAAUUUGAUUGAUGAUUGUACAGUUCUGUAAAUAAACUAAAAUGUAUUGAAUUGUAUAAUUAAAACAUGCAGAUUUUAUAUUUAAAAUAUACUUUGAUAAAAGUGUUUUAAAAAUGAAUAUCUCAUAGGGUAGAAUGAAAUGAAUAAGAGAAACAGUGAGGCAUCCAGGGGACUUUCUGCACAGUGGGUCUGUCAUUAGGCAGGUACGUUGCCACAGCCAGUUCUAAUGCCCACUCAUAGGCCAAUGCCUAGGACAAUUGCUCAGAUAUCGCCUCUGACAGGCAAGUGUUCCAUCAGUAACAGCAGGCAUCGGAAGAUGAUGCCAUUCCCUGCUGUUAGUAUGAUUAUAUUGACUUAGGUUUUUAAUUUUCUUUCUUGCUGUGUUUUUUUUUUUUCACCUUCUUAGCCUCUAAAGCAUGAACAUCUGUGUUUUUCAG